AUGGCCUGGGCCCCUCUGCUCCUGGCGCUGCUCACUUACUGCUCAGGUUCUCUCGCCCAGUAUGUGCUGACUCAGCCGCCUUCAGUGUCUGUGUCUCCAGGGCAAAAGGCUCAACUCACCUGCUCAGGGAACAACAUUGGGAGCUACCAUGUGCAGUGGUACCAACAGAAACCUGGCAGUGCCCCCCUACUGCUUAUCUAUCACAGUAGCAGCAGACCCUCCGGAAUCCCUGCUCGAUUCUCUGGGGCCAACUCCAGGAACACGGCCACGUUAACCAUCACUGGAGUCCAGGCGCAGGAUGAGGCUGAUUAUUACUGUCAGGUGUGGGACAGCGGCAGUGCUUAG